GAUAAACGCUGGCGGCGCACAUAAGACAUGCAAGUCGAACGGAAGUCGUUACAAAAUGAAUAGAAGAUUUAUCUGAUUGAAGUUUUGUAACAAUGGCUUUAGUGGCGGACUGGUGAGUAACACGCGAGUAACCUGCCCCAGAGUGGGGGACAACAGUUGGAAAUGACUGCUAAUACCGCAUAUGCCUUAGCAACACAUGUUGCAAAAGGGAAAGGAGCAAUCCGCUGAUAGAUGGGCUUGCGUCUGAUUAGAUAGUUGGUGAGGUAACGGCCCACCAAGUCGACGAUCAGUAGCCGGACUGAGAGGUUGAACGGCCACAUUGGGACUGAGAUACGGCCCAG
rnacentral:rRNA from 1 species